rnacentral:lncRNA from 1 species
UUGUUUCUUGUUUUGCCUGUGAGUGAUUUUAAAAGUUUAUGCCUGUAGAAUUCAGCCUUACCUGCACACCCAAGAUUUGUUCAAUGAGCAAAUUACUGUCUACAAGACACUGGGGAUGCAAAUGGUGAUUUAAAGAAAAUGGGGAGCGAGGCCGCUGGAAGCAUGUUUCCCACCACUCAGAUAAUGUGAAUAUGUGUACCAACACCAACAGCAGCUGGUGUCCAUAGGCCUGGUUUACCAUGUGUCAGGAAAUGCCCUGGAUGAGGAUUUCACUGGUUGACUGACCAUUUUGGGUUCCUAUUUCAAUGGCUUUGCAGCUUUUGAAGAUUUGCUGCUGCCCGCACGAUCUGUAAAUACAAAGCUGUAAACCUAAACCUCCCACCGUUUGUUGUUCAUCCUCUCACUUAACAGGUACCCUAUGUAGUUGAUUCAAGUGUGCUUGUUUAG